CAGGAAGCCCGAUAUGCUGACAUGUGUGAGAGGCAUCAUUCACCACAGAAGUAGAAACAGCAUGGAUGGGUGAAAGUUGCAAGAAGAUCUGUUGUUUCUUGGUUCCAACUUUGCUAUCAGCACUGGACCAAGAAUGGAAAACAACUAAUAAACCCUGAAUGUGCAACAAGGACCACAGGAACCAGCCACGGGAGAGUAGACAGUCACCAAGGUCAGGGUCACGUCAGGACAGCCCUGCACGUGUGCGGCCUGAGUGUUCCCACUCUCCGGGUUCACAGUGCAACAGACAGUGCCAGCUCACCACAGCCUUGUUUCCCCCAACUGACCAAGACUGGUCAGAAUGUGUCAGAUUUUGCAUGAAAGACGCAACGUAUUUGCUGUAAAAUUUUAGGAAUUACUAGAAAACAGGGAAGCCCCAAAAGGUAACACAAUCAAGGCAAGGCAAAGGUUGAAGAGAGUACUGAAAAAUCUUUUCAAACUGUUUAGAGAGGAUCCUGGGGGGAGAUGGUAGCAGGUUGGAGUGGCUGUGAGCCCGAGAGGCAGGAAAUAAGCCAGACUGAAACCCAUAUGCCUCUGUCAGAACUUCAAAGACUGAACCAAUGGUAAGAGCAAAGAACCUAACAGGGCCAAAGCUGUGAAGCGUAUUCACAUAAGGAUCAGAACACAGUCGGAGUCAGGAAACAGAGCCAGGAUAAAACCACUAGAAUAAAGUCACAAAACAUUAACCAGAAGAGGCAGGGAGUGGCCUGGGUACCAGAAGGAAUUCUGUUGCAGGAUGUGACGGACUAAUCAGUGUUUAAUCCUUCCUAGGCAGAGGCUCCACCACCGGUGCAUCUGUAAAGGCCUGGAGUGGGCUCAGGCAGUGAGAAACUGGAAAUGGAGCCUGGGCCCUUAGAGACCAGAGCAUCUCUCAUACAAGGGCUACACAUGUAUGAAGAAGAUGUACAUAGCUGGUCAUUUGUUACCUCACUUUGUUGAUCACAGACAAAAGCCACUUCCCUGACCUUGUCCUAAGGGAUUGUCAUUGUAAAUGUGGGUGAGCCCAGAGAACAGUGGGCUGGAUCCCUGGGUUUGGCUGCUUUCUAUGCUGCCAAGUAGUGGACACCCACCUUUCAGGCCCCCUUUUAUGUGCUGAGAUCACCUCCCUUCUUAGCUGUCUGUCAGUAUACCCCAGCUCUAGGCUGCAAGACUUCAGUGUGGGGACAGAGGUGCUCCCCACAACAAAGUCUGGGACCUCUGGUGCCCCACCUUCAUGUUUUGAAGAUGCUGUUUCACCCAGCGUUCUUUCCAGUAUUCAUCAGUAAUAGUGCAUUUAGCAUGGAGGCAUCCCCGAGUGCCCUUCACUUCCCCUUCUGCCAGGCAGAUUGUGAUGAACAGUGAAGCCUUUCACGGCUACUCACAGAAGUAGUCUUUAAAAAAGAACAAGAACUCAAAAUUGCAACUUGAACUUCCCCACUGAUACCAUAAAAUGGAACUUGGGAGCAGAAUAUAAGGAUGUUUGAGUUCCACUCUUGCUAAUUCACUGGUAAGGGGGCUUGAAAUCCUGGCCGCAUGUUUAGACAAGUCUACUCUGUUAAAUUAUUUCCCAAGUACUUUAUUCUUUUUGAUUCUGUUGCAAAUGAAAUCUUCCCCUCAAUUUCAUUUUUUGGCUCAUUUUAUUGCUAGUGUAUAGAAGCCAUUCAGUUU
rnacentral:lncRNA from 1 species